GAUGCGACUGCCAAAAACGAGAUCCGAGCUGAACUGUGGUUCUGCCGAGCUAGCUGGUAGGGAGCAGGGUGGCCGUGCCGACCUGUAAGCAAAGAUGCGGCGGGGUUGGUCCCCCGAAGCAACUCCGACGAUCAAGUCAAUAAAAGCUUGGAAUCGAAGUGAGUAUGUGUUCAAAAGAAAUAGCGUACCUAGCAUCUUCGCAAUGCGUUGUAUUUAUAGAGUCGGAGGUAGUAGUUUCCUAGCAGGACAAGGAG
rnacentral:lncRNA from 1 species